CAAGUUGGAUUGCUCCGAAUUUCAGUGCCUAUCGGGCAGCCAGUAAACAUUUGUCCAUCUUUAAGGCAUUAAACUGAGAAGAACCACUGAGGAAAGCAUGCCACAGUCUUUCCCAAAAUCCCUGUGUCUUAAGGAACAACCAAGAGGUUAACUGGUCAGGGAAAAGAUUUCUUUUGGAACGCAGAGAAUGGUGGGAGUUGUGAUCCGUACCUCCGUGUGCAUAAUGGUUGUACCUGCUCCAGGAAGGCGCUGGAUCCUCCCAAAUCCAUGGGAAGAGAUUAGGACACAAACAACAGACAGAAGGUGACCACAGGAGGACACAGUGAGAAGCUGGCCAUCUGCAAGCCAAGGAGAGAGACCUCAGGAGAAACCAAACCUGCCAGCACCUUGAUCUUAGACUUCUAGCCCUCAGAACGGUGAGGAAAUAAAUCUCUGUUGUUCAUGCCACCCAGUCUGUGGUGUUUUGUUAUGGCCACUCUAGCAGACUAAUACACAUGGCACUGUCCCUGUGUGUCUGUAUC